UAGGGAAUCUUCCGCAAUGGGCGAAAGCCUGACGGAGCAACGCCGCGUGAGUGAAGAAGGAUUUCGGUUCGUAAAACUCUGUUGUUAGAGAAGAACAGCGCAUAGAGUAACUGUUAUGCGUGUGACGGUAUCUAACCAGAAAGCCACGGCUAACUACGUGCCAGCAGCCGCGGUAAUACGUAGGUGGCAAGCGUUGUCCGGAUUUAUUGGGCGUAAAGCGAGCGCAGGCGGUCAAUUAAGUCUGAUGUGAAAGCCCCCGGCUCAACCGGGGAGGGUCAUUGGAAACUGGUUGACUUGAGUGCAGAAGAGGAGAGUGGAAUUCCAUGUGUAGCGGUGAAAUGCGUAGAUAUAUGGAGGAACACCGGUGGCGAAAGCGGCUCUCUGGUCUGUAACUGACGCUGAGGCUCGAAAGCGUGGGGAGCGAGCAGG
rnacentral:rRNA from 1 species